ACCAGCGGUCCCACCCGUCAGCUCCUCCUCCUACCUCUCGCCGGCCGACCCCAACCGCCAUUGCCGUCCACGUCGCCGCAAAAUCCGGCGCCCUCCCGCACCCGAGCUCGCAUCCAACCACGUGGACACAACCCCCUCCACGUCCUCCACCUUUUCCCCCACUCACCCCGCAAGAAACGGCGCCGGUUUGACCUCCCCACGAGCUCCACUUCACCUCCCCACUCCGCCGGCCGUUGCCGCCCGUCCGGCCACGAUUUCUCCUCCCCGAGCCCAUAAAAAGCAUCCCCGUGCUCCCCUCGUCCGUUUCCCCAUUUUUCCCGAGCCCGGCAUACUCUCCCUCGCUCUCCCCACGCCGCACCCACGCGCUGCCACACUCCGGCGAGCUCCGGUCGCCGUUUCCCGCCGCCACAGCCGUCGCCGCGCCGAGCCACCGCCACCGCCAGCUUCGCCACCGCAAGGGGAAGUCCGGCCGCCUCUUAUUUCCCCCUCUCCACCCCUCGAGCACCACUCCCACCGCACACCCGAGGCCGCCGCCCCUUUCACCGCCUCCAGCCGCGUCGCGCCGCCGCUUCGGUCGACGUCGACUCGCGCCGUUGCCUCCCUCAGCUCCGCAAGGACGAGGAGGACCUCGGCCGCCGCCCCUCUUCGCCGGAAAUCCGCCGGAGCUCCUCCUUCCUCGGUCGCCGGUCAAGGGCGACCCCGUCCGCCCUCCGUCCUCGCAAGCCGCCAUUGGGCAAUCGUCGUCGCCGUCCUCUUCCUCCGCGUCGGCCGCCGCUUCCGCGUGUAGAAUCCGUUGUUUCGGAAGUCUGCGGUCGCAAGGAAAAGAGUUCGGAAGAUUGUUUUGAAGAAGCAAGGCAAGUCACACAUUCCCCUUGAGCAUGUUGAUCCCAAUUUAUAAAUGUUUUAC